GGAAGAUUUGAGUACUUGGUCAUCGUUGACGGAACGGAACACGGAAGAUAAACAAAGUGACAAGGAGACGAAAUUGGAUACCCUGCCUUCAAGCCACUGAAAUCCUCGUCGUAAUGAUCCCAUCAUGUUCUAUGUUUGUUCAGGAGGUUCACUUGACCAUGCAGACUUUUGGAUUCCUCUAAGUUCCCAUGUUGCUGCAGUGGAGGUUCAAGGUUACUGUUUAUUGAUAUGGAUCCCAUCAUACUUUGUUCAUUGUUUGUUCAGGAGUUUGCCCUAAGUCUCCGUGUUUGAGGGCCUAUUCUGUGGAUAAGUUUAUUUGCACUUUUGAUGCAGUAAAUAAAUAGUUUAUGAAAAAAAUC